CCUACGGGAGGCAGCAGUGAGGAAUAUUGGUCAAUGGCCGGAAGGCUGAACCAGCCAAGCCGCGUGAGGGAGGAAGGCGCAGAGCGUCGCAGACCUCUUUUGCCGGGGGACAAAAGGCCGGACUCGUCCGGUCCUGAGGGUACCCGGAGAAAAAGCAUCGGCUAACUCCGUGCCAGCAGCCGCGGUAAUACGGAGGAUGCGAGCGUUAUCCGGAUUCAUUGGGUUUAAAGGGUGCGCAGGCGGGCCUUUAAGCCGGCGGUGAAAUCGCGGGGCUCAACCCCGCCGAGCCGUGGGAACUGGGGGCCUUGAGUGCGGCGGAGGCAUGCGGAAUGCGCGGUGUAGCGGUGAAAUGCAUAGAUAUCGCGCAGAACCCCGAUUGCGAAGGCAGCGGGCCGUGCCGCCACUGACGCUGAGGCACGAAAGCGCGGGGAUCGAACAGGAUUAGAUACCCCGGUAGUC
rnacentral:rRNA from 1 species